rnacentral:rRNA from 1 species
CGACCCUUCGGGGAGCUUGCACAGGUGCUGCAUGGCUGUCGUCAGCUCGUGUCGUGAGAUGUCGGUUAAGUCCGCUAGCGAGCGCAACCCUCGCUGUGUGUUACAAGUGUCACACGGGACUGCCGGUAUCAAGCCGGAGGAAGGUGGGAUGACGUCAAGUCAGCAUGGCCUUUAUGUCCUGGGCUACACACACGCUACAAUGGUCGACACAAUAGGUAGCCAAGCCGCGAGGUGGAGCCAAUCCUUAAAGUCGGCCUCAGUUCAGAUUGUAGGCUGCAACCCGCCUGCAUGAAGAUGGAGUUGCUAGUAACCGCAGGUCGGCAAUACUGCGGUGAAUACGUUCCCGGGUCUU